UACGGGGGGGGCAAGCGUUGUUCGGAAUUACUGGGCGUAAAGGGCGCGUAGGCGGCCACCUAAGUCAGACGUGAAAUCCCUCGGCUCAACCGGGGAACUGCGUCUGAUACUGGGCGGCUUGAAUUCGGGAGAGGGAUGCGGAAUUCCAGGUGUAGCGGUGAAAUGCGUAGAUAUCUGGAGGAACACCGGUGGCGAAGGCGGCAUCCUGGACCGAGAUUGACGCUGAGGCGCGAAAGCCAGGGGAGCAAACGGG
rnacentral:rRNA from 1 species